GGGGCCGUAGCCCAAUUGGCAGAGGCCGGCGGUUUAGGUCCGUCGUGUUGUGGGUUCGAGUCCCACCGGCCCCA
rnacentral:tRNA from 1 species